AGUACCGUCGGUGCUCCGUAAAAGGAGGUAAAAGGGAACCGGGUGUAAAUCCCGGACAGCCCCCGCUACUGUUAUUGUUUAUGCGGUCUCAUAUCCAUUGGGUGCUUUUGCAGCAUCUGAGAAGGGAGGCCCGCUUAAAGGCAUAAGCCAGGAAACCUGCCGAUGAGUCUU
rnacentral:ncRNA from 1 species